CUCAAAUUUGUAUUUCUUUAUUCCCAUUGUGGUGAAUAUAGAGGAGAAGGAAAAAAAAAAGAUCUUGGAAAACAUUUGUAGUUGUGACGUAGAACACACAUCCUACAGUCUCCCUGCUCUGCUCCAUUCUGAUGCAUCCACUUCCACACAAAUAGAUCCCUGAACGUCUUUGUUUGCCUCGUCUGAGCUGGAAUCUGGAUCAAAACUGUACUUGUCAUGGUGCUUCACCUGCUCCUUCAACUGAACCCAGCUGUUGGACAUCAUCUCAUCACCAGUUCACUACUUAAGGAGGGCCUGCUCCAGUAUUCAUCGUUACCUCAACCGGUGCAGAAGCCUGGCCUCUAUAGUAUAUGUCUUCGUACUAAGCUGCAAAUUCUUCGCUUUAGCUCACCGGAGACAUCCCCUCCAUCUCCGUCCCUACCAAGUAUUUUUUAUGAUUCCUGCUUCCUCAGAUUCCUACUGCGGGAUGUUCUUCCUCCUGACACACAGAGCUAGUAUGGUGUCCUCCGUUUAGUUCACUUUCACACUGAAGUGAACUGCAUCAGAGUUCAUCUGCAAGAGAACAGAAACCCUCGUUCUCUGAAGAACCAGAGCUCAGGUGAAAGUUCACACCUGCAAAAUCCAGAGGACCAGAGGAAACCAGAUCUGGAUUAGACCAGAACUAGAUCUUCCAGAGGAAUGCAGCAUCGGUCAAACCCGAGCAGCUCAGAGCAUCGAAAGACACAAACAUUUAGAAAAUGAGCCGCUUCCUGUCAGGGCCAACGAGGUCGCCACAGCAACAGCCAGUGUUAUGACAUCAGUGAGACACAGAAUGAAGAGGAUUUCUCCUGCGCUCCUCCACCUUGUUCUCCACCAGUAAUGAUGUCAUGUCAUGGUCUGGACCCUGAACCACCAUCACCAUCUACUCUGAGGUUUAUUCUCUGUACUUUGGAUUUAUCCCAAAAAUUCACGAUGUCAUCAACUCAGAGCCUAACCAUCAAAGGUUAUGGAUUUAUUGAAUCUUUCUACAUCAAAACUGAGCUAAAUGUUGGCAUUAGGAAGAUCUGUCCUUACUGAAGCAUUCAUUUAAUAAAGUGUUCCUAAUGCAA